UACGUGGGGGGCAAGCGUUGUCCGGAUUUAUUGGGCGUAAAGAGCGUGUAGGCGGUCAGGUAGGUCCGUUGUGAAAACUCGAGGCUCAACCUCGAGACGCCGAUGGAAACCAUCUGACUAGAGUCCGGAAGAGGAGAGUGGAAUUCCUGGUGUAGCGGUGAAAUGCGCAGAUAUCAGGAAGAACACCCGUGGCUAAGGCGGCUCUCUAGUACGGUACUGACGCUGAGACGCGAAAGCGUGGGGAGCGAACAGG
rnacentral:rRNA from 1 species